rnacentral:rRNA from 1 species
GAUGAACGCUAGCGGCAGGCCUAAUACAUGCAAGUCGAACGGUGUAGCAAUACACAGUGGCGCACGGGUGCGUAACACGUAUGCAACCUACCUAUCAUUGGGGGAUAGCCUUUGGAAACGGAGAUUAAUACCGCAUAAGACAGUAACAUGGCAUCAUGUAGCUGUUAAAGCUUCGGCGAUGAUAGAUGGGCAUGCGUCCAAUUAGUUAGUUGGUGAGGUAAUGGCUCACCAAGACGAUGAUUGGUAGGGGAUCUGAGAGGAUAAUCCCCCACACUGGCACUGAGAUACGGGCCAGACUCCUACGGGAGGCAGCAGUAGGGAAUAUUGGGCAAUGGACGGAAGUCUGACCCAGCCAUGCCGCGUGCAGGAUGAAGGCGUUAUGCGUUGUAAACUGCUUUUUUAUAGGAAGAAGAAUCCCUUGCGAGGGAAAGUGACGGUACUAUAAGAAUAAGCACCGGCUAACUACGUGCCAGCCGCCGCCGUAACAC